rnacentral:rRNA from 1 species
UGGUGGAGUGAUUUGUCUGGUUAAUUCCGUUAGCGAACGAGACCUUAACCUGCUAAAUAGCUACAUGUAACCUCGGUUACAUGGGCAACUUCUUAGAGGGACUUUGCGUGUCUAACGCAAGGAAGUUUGAGGCAAUAACA